rnacentral:rRNA from 1 species
UCUCUAUGCGGUGCCAGCCGCCGCGGUAAUACAGAGACUGCAAGCGUUAUUCGGAUUCACUGGGCGUAAAGGGUGCGCAGGCGGCCAAGUGUGUCAGGUGUGAAAUCCCGGGGCUUAACUCCGGAACUGCGCCUGAAACUACUUGGCUAGAGCAUUGGAGAGGGAAGUGGAAUUCACGGUGUAGCAGUGAAAUGCGUAGAUAUCGUGAGGAACACCAGAGGCGAAGGCGACUUCCUGGACAAUUGCUGACGCUCAGGCACGAAAGCGUGGGGAGCCAAAGGGAUUAGAUACCCCUGUAGUCCACGCCCUAAACGGUGCAUACUAGGUCUUGGAGGAUUCGACCCCUUCAGGGCCCAAGCUAACGCGUUAAGUAUGCCGCCUGAGGACUACGGCCGCAAGGCUAAAACUCAAAUGAAUUGGCGGG